UACGUAUGGGGCAAGCGUUAUCCGGAUUCAUUGGGCGUAAAGAGCGCGUAGGCGGCUUGUUAAGCGAGGUGUGAAAUCCGGGGGCUUAACCCGCGGCUUGCAUCUCGAACUGGCAGGCUUGAGUCUGGUAGAGGAAAGUGGAAUUCCCAGUGUAGCGGUGAAAUGCGCAGAUAUUGGGAGGAACACCAGUGGCUAAGGCGACUUUCUGGGCCACGACUGACGCUGAGGCGCGGAAGCUAGGGGAGCAAACAGG
rnacentral:rRNA from 1 species